AUUUGAAAAUACCCGAGUAGAGCUGCAAAUCAGUUGGGGAGAGAGGAUUUUGCCUGCCUUCUUCCUUAUUAUUUUGCUGCUGCAAGGCUGCUUUGCAAUCCGUAGACCAAACCUUGCAUACCAUGUGAUCCUCGGGUAUGAAUUACAGAUAAAGGGAAGGCCAUUCAGACCUUGUUUGUACUUCAGAAGGAAUCGGCAACGGGACACAAGAU
rnacentral:lncRNA from 1 species